GGGUGGGGGACGGGGACGUAACAGUCGCUUGGACACGUUUUUCUUUUGCAAAUGAAUCUUAUUGUGAUACACGCUUUCCCUCUGGCCCCUUAACAGCGGUUUGACAACAGACAGGAAAUUAACCAUAUAAAUUUUAAUUUGCCGACCCUUUACACCAGCAACGGAAGAUGCAUCUGUUGGAUUUCUGCGUGUUGUGCAGCUGGGAGGACGGAUUAGGACAUGGGAACCCACGGACGAAGAUUGGGAACAGGAGCUGCGAAUCUAGGAGGACUUCCAGUAGAUGGAGAGCAACAACAAGAGAUGAGCCAUGAAGAUCCACAGAAAAGGAACAGCAGCACCCAAAUUGCUGGAGAAAGCAGUAGACCAGGACUUCUCUAUCGAGACUUGUAUGUCAGGUCCAUGUAGAAAUAAAUGCCUGGUGCUUAUAUUUAAGAGUUCAGGGAGGUGAUUAAACCUGCUAUUGUAGCCUUUCUUAGAACCUGUCUCUUUUCCUAGCCCACAUCAAGGGGAGUAAUUGGUGGAUGUUUUUCCACUGCCAGACAAAUCCACUAAUCACACCUUAACUUGCCCUCCAGUAAACUGUCAGUGAAGCUGCACUUCCCUGCUUUGUUAACAAGACGGCACAGAGAUCUGCUGGGGGAAAGAGCUAAUUUGUGUGGCACUUGAUGAAAGCAUAUUUCAUUGGCUGCAUAGAUGAGUCUUAAAGCCUGCAGGGCUUAAUAUUGAUUACUAGGAAGGGAUCUGGAGAGUGAGAAGAAGAGUGAGAUUCCAAAUGUAUUCACUUGGCUACUCUAACACAAAUUCUGGCUAGAUGGGAUAGGGUCUUAAUUUUGAAGAAAAGAUGCCACAAGCAAAGAAGCGUUUCACCCCAGUUUUGCAGCUCCUGCAGAAGGGAUAGAGAAAGAAGGGGCUCACUGUUGCUUGCUCUUUCCUAGUUGCCUCUCCCCCUUCAAGUAGAGGCUUAUCCUUUAAAAUAAAGGCGGGAGCGUUAAGCUCUCUUUUUCAAGUAUGUUUCUAGUCUCAGAUCCAGCCAGGGUGAAGAAAUAGAGGAUGAUGUUUACACAAUGGAACCAUUCAUGACGGAGAAGGGCCCAGAAGAAUCGGCUUGCCUGCUUUUAAGAAACAGUGGAGACAAGGAGCUUUCAUCACCUAAAAGAAAACUAGAAAUAAACCAGAAACCAGAGGCCCAUCCUGUUUUGCUGGCAUUCUAGGCAAUAACUUACUACUUUGAUCUGGACAUCCAGGGUAAAAGUGAGGUGUCAAUUUACUACCUUCUAGCAGAAAAUGUUCUGUGUGAAGCCGGAAACAUCAGCUUAAAACACUGAUUAAGAGCCAUUCAUCUGAAGUCAAUGCUGCUGGCAACUUCAGCUAUGAUAUCAAUAUCACUAUUCAGAACACAAUCUCCCCAUCAUAAUCAGUCUGAAAAACUCUAGUUAAUUGCACCAGCCUUUUUGCCAGAUGGGCUCUUUUUCUAUUUUUAUUUUAAAGAUUGACCAAGCAUAAUCUUGACAAGAUUCUGCAGGGCACACAAGAAAAUAUACAAGGCAGAUGGGUUCUUGCCAAAUGCAGAAGAGGAUAAUGCAAAUUCAAGAUUAAACCUGCAAUAAACAGGAAAGAAACCUGAGAGGUCUGGAAGAGCUGACACUGAAAACUCCUUCUUCCUUUUCCCUCCUCCUCGUCCUCCUCAUCCAUUCUACCACUGAAAAGUUGUGAGAAUGUUAUUCCUGUGCAUACUCAGCGGUGGGAUUUACUUACCUGCCCUACCAGUUUGCAAAUGUGAGCGUGCUCACUCCACUCGUGUGCACCUCAUCUGCAUAUGCGCAUGGCCUUCUGCGCAUGUGCAGUAGGUGCAUGUUACAUCAGGUCAGGUGGGCAGAGCCUCCCACUGUCGCAGCUACCAGCUUGCGCAAUCUGGAGAGAACCAGCUGAACCCCACCACUGUGCAUACUGUAUAUAGCACUUGUACAAAGUUAUAGAAACAGACCUUUUGACUGUGGAUAUUACAAUAACAAUUUGUAAUUAAAAAAAUUAAGAAGGUAGAUAUAAAAUAAGAGACAACUCUUAAAAUGUUAGCAAGAGUGAAUAUCAGAUUCUGCAGACUAAGUGAUUUGUCUCACUAUCUGAUUCUUUAUUCCCACUAGCAGUAGCAUCCCAGGAGAUAGCCAUGCUUGAUGCAUAAGCCAUCUUCUUCUUUUUUUUCAUAUUUUAUUUAUAUAACAUAUAAAAAAUUCAAUUUCCAUCAAACAGUGUGUUGUCUGGGUACAGUUGUUUUUAGGCAAUCAUAAUCAAAAUGUUUACAGUAGUAUUCAUUGCAAUAAUAUUAAUACUAUAAUAACAAUAAUAUUUAACUUAUCUACUUUAGCAAAUCUCCGUUUUAGCAUUUAUCCUUUUUAUAUCCCCACAUUUCUAACUUCUGUUUCUAUUGUCUAACCAUUGGUAAAACAGGUCCCGUAUCAAAAAAUAUUCAGUUUCUUCUUUGUCCUGAAUAGUAAGCAUGUCCCCCACAUAUGGUAAUAUGAACCAGGUGUUUGACUGCACUUCCAACAUUUAAUGGAUCUAUCUUGAUACAUUUUUGCCAGUUUUGGUGCAAAAUGCCAUCUAUAGAACAUUUUAUACAAAUUUUCUUUAUAUGCAGUUGACAUGGUCAAUUUAACAUUUCUAUCCCUCAGUUUCUGCCAUUUAUCCAGUUCUAUUGCACAUCCAAAUUUUUUAGUCCAAACUUUCAUUGUCUCCAUUAUCUGCUCACUUUCAAGUUUAAGUAACAAUAUAUUUUCUUUAUCAGUUUUUCAAUCUGUUCCAAAGCCAUGGCUAUCUUCUAUGGACUUCAUUUAAAAAUCUUGAUUCAGAGAAAAAUUAUUAGCCUAUUCCAAGAUAUUCUAUUUCACUGUCCUUUCUCCUUUCCUAUUUCUCAGGCUUGAGUUUGGGAAAUCUGUCUUCUCACUAACAUGACAUUUUCAGGUAUCAUAUUCCCAGUUCAUCAUAAUCACUCCACUGUGUUAUACUCCCUCUCCUUGAAAUGGAGGACAAGAAGAAGCCAAGGUAAUAUGGAAGGAAUCCACGCAGGGCAGCUGCAGUUC